CGACUGGCCAAAAUCUGUUGCGAUCUGCACAAAUUAAUAGUGAAUAAUUGAUGAUCUCUGAUGUCUCCCAGAGAUUAGAGCCAGAAGUGAACGCCGAAGUCAAUGGCUUCUUAUAAUGCAGUGGAAAUUCAAUGGUAUCUUUUGGGAUCAAGACAAGAGCUCUGUACCGGAGAAUCCAAGUCUGAACAAACUUCCUUCUCUUCUAUUUCCUCGUCAAGGCAGUGACCACAUUUCCACUCCUCUUUCAAAUUUUAUUCGCUUGGUCUUGGAAACAUGAUGUCACUAUCCAAAGUGUUUUCACCUCAGCAAAAGGCCUGUGGGGGAUUAGGUAAGUAGGAGUGAGUCUGUGAUGCACAUCAGAAAAGGUCAAUUUCAAUUUAGAAAAAAAAAAAAAAAAAAAAGACAGAUCUGUUAUUAUUAUUGCAACACAGCCCUUUGUUUACCAUACAGCUUGGUGGUUAAUCACCGAUAUGCCAUUUUUUCUUUUUUCUUUUUUAAACCUGUAUGUACACUUCACACUAACUGUUGGCUCACACUUGUCAGCUAGCCAGAUGAAGAACGAACAACAUAUUGCUUAAACCUCUAGAAUGUGCACACAUGAGGAUGUUCCAGACAUUCAUGCACAGUUGUGGGACGUAACAAAGUACAAAUACUCUGUUACUGUACUUCAUCAGAAUCAGCUUUCUUGGCCAAGUACGUUACAAGACACACAAGCAAUUUGUCAGUAGAUUUUUCAGGUGUCUGUACUUGAGUAUUUAUUUUUCUUAUUUUCUUCUUAAUUUUACUCCCUACAUUUGAAAACAGAUUGACAUACUUUCUACUCCUUACUUGAUCAAAAUAGGUUUGUUACUUUUUUCAACGUUCGUGGAUGUCGACGUGACAUUAAAAGACGUAAAUAGAGGUAAAGCCAACCGCGGUGGAGCUCUUGAUUGGGAGCGCUAACGGCGAUGAUGCAACAGAUUCGGAGAAGCAAGAGGCAGUGUUCCCUCGCCACUUCGCGCUUCACGUUUUGCGGCUUCAGUGCUUCGUGGGUUUUUCCAAAAUAUUCAUGACAAAAAAAAAAAAAAUUCAUCAAAAAAUAAAAAUGAAAAAAUACAGCCAUAUCAGCAGCCAUAUUGCGGAAAGACGCGUUGUUUCAUGUUGAUGCGCGAGAGAGAAGGUUUCCCUGCAUGCCCAACAAAAGAGAUGAGUUGACUCAGAGGCUUUGUAAAUGCCUGUACUGUACUGUACAUGCCACGGGCACUCAUACAAGGCGCGUGAUUGGUUCGACCA